GCGCUCGUAGCUCAGUUGGAUAGAGUGUCGGUUUCCGAAACCGAAGGUCACAAGUUCGAAUCUUGUCGAGCGCA
rnacentral:tRNA from 1 species